AAUCUUCCACAAUGGGCGAAAGCCUGAUGGAGCAACGCCGCGUGAGUGAAGAAGGUUUNCGGAUCNUNAAACUCUGUUGUAAGGGNAGAACAAGUACAGUAGUAACUGGCUGUACCUUGACGGUACCUUAUUAGAAAGACACGGCUAACUACGUGCCAGCAGCCGAAGUAAUACGUAGUUGGCAAGCGUUGUCCGGAAUUAUUGGGGGUAAAACGCGAGAAGGCGGUACUUUAAGUCUGAUGUAAAAGCCCACGGCUCAACCGUGGAGGGUCAUUGGAAACUGGGGGACUUGAGUGCAGAAGAGGAAAGUGGAAUUCCAAGUGUAGCGGUGAAAUGCGUAGAGAUUUGGAGGAACACCAGUGGCGAAGGCGACUUUCUGGUCUGUAACUGACGCUGAGGCGCGAAAGCGUGGGGAGCAAACA
rnacentral:rRNA from 1 species